GAUGAAGAACGUAGCGAAAUGCGAUAAGUAAUGUGAAUUGCAGAAUUCAGUGAAUCAUCGAGUCUUUGAACGCACAUUGUGCCCCCUGGUAUUCCGGGGGGCAUGCCUGUCCGAGCGUCAUUGCUGCCCUCAAGCACGGCUUGUGUGUUGGGCCGUCGUCCCCCUCCUAGGGGACGGGCCCGAAAGGCAGCGGCGGCACCGCGUCCGGUCCUCGAGCGUAUGGGGCUUCGUCACCCGCUCCGUAGGCCCGGCCGGCGCUUGCCGACGACCAUCAAUCUCUUUCUCCAGGUUGACCUCGGAUCAGGUAGGGAUACCCGCUGAACUUAAGCAUAUCAAUAAGCGGAGGA
rnacentral:misc_RNA from 1 species